GACAGAGGUGCCAAGCGUUAGGCGGAAUCACUGGGCUUAAAGCGUGUGUAGGCGGACUUGUAAGUACCUUGUGAAAUCCCACGGCUCAACCGUGGAACUGCUCGGUAUACUGCUUGUCUUGAGCCACUUAGGGGCUGUCGGAACAAACGGUGGAGCGGUGAAAUGCGUAGAUAUCAGGAGGAACACCGGUGGUGUAGACGGCUCACUGGACCGUAACUGACGCUGAGACACGGAAGCGUGGGUAGCAAACAGG
rnacentral:rRNA from 1 species